UGCUAACAAAAGGUGUGGUGGGUUGACCCUGGCCAACAACCAAACACCCAGACAGCCUCUUUCAUACUCUCCCCUCCCAUGAGAUGAGGAGAAAACAGAAGAAAGGAAGGAGAAUGACCAGUGGGACUUUUUGUCCCUGUUUAAAAAGAAGUCAUGGGCAUACUUGCAGAUACCAACAACAGCUUCCCCGGCAAAUUCCCCAAACAGCUGAAACACUUUUCACCUUCCCACUGCUUGAAAAAAGUAAA